rnacentral:rRNA from 1 species
UACGAAGGGAGCUAGCGUUGUUCGGAAUCACUGGGCGUAAAGCGCACGUAGGCGGAUGUGUCAGUCAGGGGUGAAAUCCCGGAGCUCAACUUCGGAACUGCCCUUGAUACAGCACGUCUUGAGUCCGGAAGAGGUGGGUGGAAUCCCUAGUGUAGAGGUGAAAUUCGUAGAUAUUAGGAAGAACACCGAUGGCGAAGGCAGCCAUCUGGACCGACACUGACGCUGAGGCGCGAAAGCGUGGGGAGCAA